rnacentral:rRNA from 1 species
AGAGCGAACGCUGGCGGCAGGCCUAACACAUGCAAGUCGAACGGACUCUUCGGAGUUAGUGGCGGACGGGUGAGUAACACGUGGGAACGUGCCUUUAGGUUCGGAAUAGCUCCUGGAAACGGGUGGUAAUACCGAAUGUGCCCUUCGGGGGAAAGAUUUAUCGCCUUUAGAGCGGCCCGCGUCUGAUUAGCUUGUUGGUGAGGUAAUGGCUCACCAAGGCUACGAUCAGUAGCUGGUCUGAGAGGAUGACCAGCCACAUUGGGACUGAGACACGGCCCAAACUCCUACGGGAGGCAGCAGUGGGGAAUCUUGCGCAAUGGGCGAAAGCCUGACGCAGCCAUGCCGCGUGUAUGAUGAAGGUCUUAGGACUGUAAAAUACUUUCACCGGUGAAAGAUAAUGACUGUAAGCCGGAGAAAGAAGCCCCGGACUAACUUCGUAGCCCAGCAGCCGAC